UGGGCCACAAAAUCUACAACCUGAGAGACCUCAACAGGUGAAAGCCGCAAGGUGAAGUGGGCCACAAAAUCUACAACCUGAGAGACCUCAACAGGUGCACACCCCAAGGUGAGGUGGGCCACAAAAUCUACAACCUGAGAGACCCCAACAGGUGCACACCCCAAGGUGAGAUGGGACACAAAAUCUACAACCUGAGAGACCUCAACAGGUGCACACCCCAAGGUGAGGUGGGACACAAAAUCUACAACCUGAGAGACCUCAACAGGUGCACACCCCAAGGUGAGAUGGGACACAAAAUCUACAACCUGAGAGACCCCAACAGGUGCACACCCCAAGGUGAGGUGAGACACAAAAUCUACAACCUGAGAGACCCCAACAGGUGCACACCCCAAGGUGAGGUGAGACACAAAAUCUACAACCUGAGAGACCUCAACAGGUGCACUCCGCAAGGUGAGGUGGGCCACAAAAUCUACAACCUGAGAGACCUCAACAGGUGCACUCCGCAAGGUGAGGUGGGACACAAAAUCUACAACCUGAGAGACCUCAACAGGUGCACUCCGCAAGGUGAGGUGGGACACAAAAUCUACAACCUGAGAGACCUCAACAGGUGCACUCCGCAAGGUGAGGUGGGACACAAAAUCUACAACCUGAGAGACCUCAACAGGUGCACACCCCAAGGUGAGGUGGGACACAAAAUCUACAACCUGAGAGACCCCAACAGGUGCACACCCCAAGGUGAGGUGAGACACAAAAUCUACAACCUGAGAGACCCCAACAGGUGCACACCCCAAGGUGAGGUGGGACACAAAAUCUACAACCUGAGAGACCUCAACAGGUGCACACCCCAAGGUGAGGUGGGACACAAAAUCUACAACCUGAGAGACCUCAACAGGUGCACACCCCAAGGUGAGGUGGGACACAAAAUCUACAACCUGAGAGACCCCAACAGGUGCACACCCCAAGGUGAGGUGAGACACAAAAUCUACAACCUGAGAGACCCCAACAGGUGCACUCCGCAAGGUGAGAUGGGACACAAAAUCUACAACCUGAGAGACCUCAACAGGUGCACACCCCAAGGUGAGGUGGGCCUCAAAAUCUACAACCUGAGAGACCUCAACAGGUGAAAGCCGCUAGGUGAGGUGGGACACAAAAUCUACAACCUGAGAGACCUCAACAGGUGCACUCCGCAAUGUGAGGUGGGACACAAAAUCUACAACCUGAGAGACCUCAACAGGUGCACACCCCAAGGUGAGGUGGGACACAAAAUCUACAACCUGAGAGACCUCAACAGGUGAAAGCCGCAAGGUGAGGUGGGACACAAAAUCUACAACCUGAGAGACCUCAACAGGUGAAAGCCGCAAGGUGAGAUGGGACACAAAAUCUACAACCUGAGAGACCUCAACAGGUGCACACCCCAAGGUGAGGUGGGCCACAAAAUCUACAACCUGAGAGACCUCAACAGGUGCACUCCGCAAGGUGAGGUGGGACACAAAAUCUACAACCUGAGAGACCUCAACAGGUGCACUCCGCAAAGGUGAGGUGGGACACAAAAUCUACAACCUGAGAGACCUCAACAGGUGCACGUCCCAAGGUGAGGUGGGCCACAAAAUCUACAACCUGAGAGACCUCAACAGGUGAAAGCCGCAAGGUGAGGUGGGACACAAAAUCUACAACCUGAGAGACCUCAACAGGUGAAAGCCGCAAGGUGAGGUGGGACACAAGGUG